UUUAAAUAUGACAAUGUGCUUUUCAGUUCAGUCGGUAACCUCAAAAUGAUGUCUGAAAUGGACUAAGCUAUCACUCAAGUUCAGCAAAUACAAGCAAGAGCGAACUUGAUAAGUAAAUUUAGCAAAUUCCACAUAAAACAAUACUUCCCAGACAGGAGUGGAAAUGAUAUCGUUCCCUGUGUCUCUCUCUGAUUUUAUAUCAGGAUGAACCCUAGGGGGUAUCCGGUUGAUCCUAGACUCCUCAGCCUCUACAUUGAUCCCAGGUGCUGUCUGCAUUCAUAACCAAGCUCUUCCUGUAAUCCUGGAUUACCAGAGUGCUCCAGUCUCUGAUAUCAUGUGGAUGUUGCUAAGAGAUCUGAUUCCUGCGUAUACCAGAAUGAAGAAUGAUAUGACAAGAUUUAUUGCUUUCAUCCUAAUCUGUGUGAAGUAAUCUGUUUGGGGAUGUAAUUCACAUGGUAUGUCUUUUGACUUGGAUUAGCACAUUCUAUCCUCUUAGCAAACAGCUCAGUGAAGUUAUCAAUGACAUAGAGGUCCCCAAGAGCCGGGAGAAUCCAUCCAGCCAAAACCACCCAGCUAAUUCUCAUUCGCUCUAAUCUUCCCAAAUCGCAACCUCUGAGUAUCUCAUAAAAGACAUCACAAAGAGUGCUCAGGAUUAUUCUGGGGUCACAAAUUGACUCCGCUGUCCUAAAUGCUUGUCAAUUAGAUAUAAAGUCUCAAAGAAUAACUGAGUGCUCCUAUAAUCAGUGGCAAGAAAAUUAGCCAUUUAAAUGAGUCUCUGUAAUUCAGCACAUCCCUGUGUUUUCACUUUGAAACUGGAGUUUAUUUACAUAGACUUUCAUUAAUCAGUCUCAGAUUCCUUUGUUAUGUGCGAUUAUGAAUAUAGCCUGCAGAUUUCUGAUUUGAUUAUUGAUCAUUUUUGUUCUGUUUGUUUUAUAGGCCGCCAGUACUCCAUCAAUCAUGCUGUUCUAGGAUCUGUCUCUCUGUGUGAGAAUGAGUGAAUUAUUCCCUUUAAUACUACAUGCAUUUGGAACAAAUAAACGUCUGCGUCUGAUCCUGUCGGUUGUGCUCUGUUUCUCAAGCGAUUUAUCCCAGUUCAUGUCUGCUGUCACACACUCACAAAGCUCCCCUACUUCACUACAAUCCCAUUUCAUCAAAUAACUCUACAAAAAAAAAAUCCACAAAUCGCAUAAAUCCUUGACUCUCUAUUCCUGAUCCUCACGGAUUCUUUAUAAUUUAAUAAACAGGAUUAAAGUCAUCUGCUGAAGCAGUGUAGCCUUGUUUCAUUUUUCUGU